UACGGAGGGUGCAAGCGUUGUUCGGAAUUACUGGGCGUAAAGGGCGCGUAGGCGGUAAUGUAAGUCAGACGUGAAAUACUUCGGCUCAACCGGAGAACUGCGUCUGAAACUGCAUGACUAGAGUACAGAAGAGGGAAACGGAAUUCCAGGUGUAGAGGUGAAAUUCGUAGAUAUCUGGAGGAACACCGGUGGCGAAGGCGGUUUCCUGGUCUGAUACUGACGCUGAGGCGCGAAAGCGUGGGGAGCAAACAGG
rnacentral:rRNA from 2 species